UCUCCAUGUUUCUGAUGAUUCUGGAUUCC
rnacentral:piRNA from 1 species